GCCUCCAUAGCUCAGUGGCAGAGCACUGGUCUUGUAAACCAGGGGUCGUGAGAUUGAUCCUCACUGGGGGCA
rnacentral:tRNA from 1 species